GUGAACGCUGGCGGUAGGCCCAACACAUGCAAGUCGAACGGCAGCACAGUAAGAGCUUGCUCUUACGGGUGGCGAGUGGCGGACGGGUGAGGAAUACAUCGGAAUCUACUUUUUCGUGGGGGAUAACGUAGGGAAACUUACGCUAAUACCGCAUACGACCUACGGGUGAAAGCAGGGGAUCUUCGGACCUUGCGCGAUUGAAUGAGCCGAUGUCGGAUUAGCUAGUUGGCGGGGUAAAGGCCCACCAAGGCGACGAUCCGUAGCUGGUCUGAGAGGAUGAUCAGCCACACUGGAACUGAGACACGGUCCAGACUCCUACGGGAGGCAGCAGUGGGGAAUAUUGGACAAUGGGCGCAAGCCUGAUCCAGCCAUACCGCGUGGGUGAAGAAGGCCUUCGGGUUGUAAAGCCCUUUUGUUGGGAAAGAAAAGCAGCAGGCUAAUACCCCGCUGUUCUGACGGUACCCAAAGAAUAAGCACCGGCUAACUUCGUG
rnacentral:rRNA from 1 species